GAAAUCAAAGACGGCCUCUGAUAUAAGCUGUCGCUUGAAGAGGGGUCCGCGUACCAUUAGCUUGUUGGCGGGGUAAUAGCCCACCAAGGCGACGAUGGUUAGCCGGCCUGAGAGGGUGAACGGCCACACUGGAACUGAGAUACGGUCCAGACUCCUACGGGAAGCAGCAGUGGGGAAUUUUUCGCAAUGGGCGAAAGCCUGACGAAGCAACGCCGCGUGGAUGAUGAAGGCUUUCGGGUCGUAAAAUCCUGUCGGCAGGUAUGAAACUUCCGGUAACUAAUAUCUACCAGGACUGACAGUACCUGCUGAGAAAGCCCCGGCUAACUCCGUGCCAGCAGCCGCGGUAAUACGGGGGGGGCGAGCGUUAUUCGGAAUUAUUGGGCGUAAAGGGCGCGUAGGUGGUCAUGCAAGUCAAACGUGAAAGCCUUUGGCUCAACCAGAGAAUUGCGUUUGAAACUGCAUGACUUGAGUUCGGGAGAGGAAAGUGGAAUUCCCAGUGUAGCGGUGAAAUGCGUAGAUAUUGGGAGGAACACCGGUGGCGAAAGCGACUUUCUGGACCGACACUGACACUGAG
rnacentral:rRNA from 1 species